rnacentral:lncRNA from 1 species
AGACAAUAAAAUAAAAUAAAAUAAAAUCAGAUUAAUCAAAAGGGACCCACCGACCCAAUAAUAGAUUCAUAAGAAUUAACUGUUCAAUUUUCCGCAUUACAAAUCAAAUGACUACAGAACUUCUGGCAUAGGCAGAACCACACCAAGAUGAUGACCCAAGUUGGAAAAUGGAAACCACUAUGUUCAAACUUCAAACACAAACCAACCAAACUAAUAUAACUAUUCAAGUUACCCAUAUUCUAACUGGAAAUAUAUAUCAAACUGCAUACUAGCUUGAACCUUUUUUAUUUUAUUUUUUUUCUUCUUUUAGUAGGAAUAAUUUCACAUGAUCAACUGAUGAAUAUGAUGGAGGGAUCACAGCAGCACUCAUCUAGGAGGCAGCAACAACACAAAGCUGCAAGACUGAGAGAGGGAACAAAGAAGGAAAAAACAUGUUACACAUGUUACAAUUGGGAAGCUUACCAUCCCUCAAGGAAGCCAGUAUUUCUUCUUGGUGGUGGUGCAGCAGCAUAUUGUGGCGGUGCCAUCACUGGAGGACCUUGAUAAUAACCUACCAACACAACAAUUUCCGCCACAACAGAAAUUAAAAUCAUGCAUAUAUAUGGAGAGAAACUAGUGUAUAUAAAAAUUUAAAAGGAGAAAGAAGCAGUUCUCUUUCAAUAUUAUAUGGUACAACAAUACAAGGAGCUAAUACUAAACAAAAGAUUACUAUAUAGUAAUAUAAGAACUAAGAAAUGAAAAGGGUACCUCCUUGAGCAGGGUAGGGAUAUGCAUACUUAGGAUCACUCAUUUCCACCAAAAUAAUCACAAAGCAAAGAGAUUUAUUCUGUUACUAUGAAACCCGGGUUGCACAAUAUUUAUUUAUUUAGCAGCAAGGGACUUGGUUUUUGACUAUUAGAACAACAUCACAAUCUGUCUUCAAAUUUGUACUAAAACUAUAAACUAAAUACCUGGGUCCUGGGGUAGUCCUUAUUUGCAUCCUAGCACUUUCUAGAAAUACUGUUUUCUUAAUUAACAAACAAUUAUAUAACAUCGCAUCUUGAUAGGGGCACUUCCACGUCAACUAUACCUACGUGUCAG